rnacentral:lncRNA from 10 species
AAAAAAAAAAUCACUUUAAAACUAAUGACAGAGAUAAAGACAGAUUUGAAAGGCACUACAAACACUAAGCAUAAAUAGAAAGAAAAUCACGUCCAGGCACAAUAUAAACUGCAGUGAACAACAAACGUGAGAAAAUCUGAAAAGCAAUCAGAGAACAAAAGGCAGAGUAUCUCAGAAGCCAAAUAAGACAGGUAGCUGCUUUCUUACAAUAAACUCUAGAAGACAGAAAUGAUAUAUUCAGACUGCUGAAAAAAAAUUAAGUACAUAAUUUAAUAUAAAGAAAAUAUACUCUUUGAAAAGGGAGUGAAAUGAAAGCCACGUUUAGACAAAAAUAUCUGAAAAAAGAUUUUGUCAUCAGAAGAUUCACACCAAAGGAAGUAUUAAAGGAUAUUAAUCUUCAGGGUGCAGGAAAGUGAUCUUAAACGACAGAGGUGCAAGGAAGAAUGAAGGGCAAAAUAAAAAGUUACUAAAUCUAAGUAAGAAGAGCAAGCUUUGUGGGAUUUUAAUUUGCCUUAUUUGCAGUCCCCUCUCCCAACUAUAUGGUAGCUCUGAAAACCAUGGAGAUAAAGAUCCUUUCAGUCUAGCAACCACUGAUGGAGUCAAAAUGGAUUUGGUGCUUCCCCAAAAGCUUCAUCUCCAGAUAAUUGUUACUUUUUGACUCGUCUGUCAGUUCACAAGGAAAGUCCAAUUCACAGUGUUUAUCUUUAUUGAACUGACUCAGAACAUGUUCAGUGGGAAAGGUCCUGUUACAGUAGGACACACUGCGCAUGCUCGCCUCCCAAGCGCAAGCCUGGAACUGUGCACGCAGGCAGCUUACCCUAACGGAAAAAUCAAGGGAAAGCCGGUGAAAGACACUGGAAGUGGGCCACCGUAUAAAAUCUUAGGUUCAAGGUCAAACAGGGCACUUGACCUCCAAGAUGCCUGCUUGGACCUCUUCCAAGUGUCCUUUCUUUUUUUUUCAUUCCUGCUCUAAAGCUUUUUGAUAAACUUCCUCUCCUGCUCUAAAACUUGCGUUGGUGUCCUUUUUCUGCCUUAUGCCCCUCAGUCAAAUCUUUGUUCUGAGAAGACAAGAAUUGAGGUUGCUGCAGACUCAUACGUAUUCGCCACUGGUAACCCGGAUAACUUCCACCGCUAAUACUAUGUCCAGGGCAUUUGUGAAAACCAACAAACAAAAAACAAAACAAAACAAAAACAGCAGCAGUUAUUUAACACCUAGCCGACUGAGCUGGCAAUACUAGUUAGGGCAAAUAAGAGACUGGCCAGAAAACAUCAAAGGAAAAUUUUGAGUGGAGUUUUUAUUUCUGGAAAUGGUAUAAUCAGUUAUUUCAGAGUAAUACUCUGAAAAACAACAAAGACACAGGUGUACAAAAUAAAGUGCAUUUAUCAAUUUGAAGGCAUUAGAAAACUACCUAAUUGGAGAAUGAG